AUACUUACCUGGCAAGGGAGACACCGUGAUCACGAAGGCGGUUCACCCAGGGCGAGGCUCAGCCAUUGCACUCCGGCUGUGCUGACCCCUGCGAAUUCUCGAUUGCAUAAUUUCUGGUAGUGGGGGACUGCGUUCGCGCUCUCCCCUG
rnacentral:snRNA from 13 species